rnacentral:rRNA from 1 species
UACAGAGGGGGCAAGCGUUAUUCGGAAUUAUUGGGCGUAAAGGGCGCGUAGGCGGCCUUUCAAGUGACGGGUGAAAGCCCUCGGCUUAACCGAGGAACUGCCUGUCAGACUGGAAGGCUUGAGACCGGGAGAGGUGAGUGGAAUUCCCAGUGUAGCGGUGAAAUGCGUAGAUAUCAUGAGGAAUACCAGAGGCGAAGGCGGCUACCUGGACAAUUGCUGACGCUCAGGCACGAAAGCGUGGGGAGCAAAAGGG